rnacentral:rRNA from 1 species
CCUACGGGAGGCUGCAGUAGGGAAUCUUCCACAAUGGACGAAAGUCUGAUGGAGCAACGCCGCGUGAGUGAAGAAGGGUUUCGGCUCGUAAAGCUCUGUUGGUAGUGAAGAAAGAUAGAGGUAGUAACUGUCCUUUAUUUGACGGUAAUUACUUAGAAAGUCACGGCUAACUACGUGCCAGCAGCCGCGGUAAUACGUAGGUGGCAAGCGUUGUCCGGAUUUAUUGGGCGUAAAGCGCGUGCAGGCGGUUCAAUAAGUCUGAUGUGAAAGCCUUCGGCUCAACCGGAGAAUUGCAUCAGAAACUGUUGAACUGGAGUGCAGAAGAGGAGAGUGGAACUCCAUGUGUAGCGGUGGAAUGCGUAGAUAUAUGGAAGAACACCAGUGGCGAAGGCGGCUCUCUGGUCUGCAACUGACGCUGAGGCUCGAAAGCAUGGGUAGCGAACAGGAUUAGAUACCCUUGUAGUC